rnacentral:rRNA from 1 species
GUGGAUUAGAUACCCGGGUAGUCCUGGCCGUAAACGAUGUCGACUAGAUCGCAGUGCCUCUGACGGUAUUGCGGUCGAAGCAAAAGUGCUAAGUCGACCGCCUGGGAAGUACGGUCGCAAGGCUAAAACUCAAAGGAAUUGACGGGGGCUCACACAAGCGGUGGAGCAUGUGGUUUAAUUCGAAGCAACGCGCAGAACCUUACCUGGGCUUGACAUGCUAGGAUUAUCUCCGUGAAAGCGGAGUAGGCCCUUCGGGGUACAACUAGUACAGGUGCUGCAUGGUCGUCGACAGCU